rnacentral:lncRNA from 1 species
CAGGGGCAUCUGUGGUUAAUAGACAUAUUCUACAUUUAUUUCAGUAAUCAGCUUAUUUACUUCCAUUGAAUUCUUCUUUAAAUAGACUUAACUUGCGCAUUUUUUUUUUUCAGGAUCUCGGUGCAGUUUGGUAACAGACAGUGAUAUUUCAAGUUGAAUGUGACCAACUUAACAAAGUGUUUCACUAGAUUGAGCUCUCUGUCUAAGUG